rnacentral:tRNA from 1 species
CGGGGUGUAGCGCAGCCUGGUAGCGCACCUGUUUUGGGAGCAGGGAGUCGGAGGUUCGAAUCCUCUCACCCCGA